rfam:Ictidomys tridecemlineatus contig029662, whole genome shotgun sequence.
GUGGUUGUAGCUCAGUGGUAGAGCACUUGCCUAGGGUGUGUAAGGCCCUGGGUUCAAUUCUCAGCACCACA